UAAGGGAGUUCCUGUAGUCUGAUUUUUUUUUUUCCCUAAUAAAAAAAAAGGUAAAAAGCCAGUAUGAUUGGGAUUACUCCGGGAAACCGGGGCUAAUACCGGAUGGUUGUUUGAACCGCAUGGUUCAAACAUAAAAGGUGGCUUCGGCUACCACUUACAGAUGGACCCGCGGCGCAUUAGCUAGUUGGUGAGGUAACGGCUCACCAAGGCAACGAUGCGUAGCCGACCUGAGAGGGUGAUCGGCCACACUGGGACUGAGACACGGCCCAGACUCCUACGGGAGGCAGCAGUAGGGAAUCUUCCGCAAUGGACGAAAGUCUGACGGAGCAACGCCGCGUGAGUGAUGAAGGUUUUCGGAAUCGUAAAGCUCUGGUUGUUAGGGAAGAACAAGUACCCGUUUCGAAUAGGCCGGUACCUUGACGGUACCUAACCAAGAAAAGGCCACGGCUAACUACGUUGCCAGCAGCCGCGGUAAUACGUAGGUGGCAAGCGUUGUCCGGAAUUUAUUGGGCGUAAAGGGCUCGCAGGCCGGUUUCUUAAGUCUGAUGUGAAAGCCCCCGGCUCAACCGGGGAGGGUCAUUGGAAACUGGGGGAACUUGAGUGCAGAAGAGGAGAGUGGAAUUCCACGUGUAGCGGUGAAAUGCGUAGAGAUGUGGAGGAACACCAGUGGCGAAGGCGACUCUCUGGGUCUGUAACUGACGCUGAGGAGCGAAAGCGUGGGGGAGCGAACAGGGAUUAGAUACCCUGGUAGUCCACGCCCGUAAACGAUGAGUGCUAAGUGUUAGGGGGUUUCCGCCCCUUAGUGCUGCAGCUAACGCAUUAAGCACUCCGCCUGGGGAGUACGGUCGCAAGACUGAAACUCAAAGGAAUUGCACGGGGGCCCGCACAAGCGGUGGAGCAUGUUGGUUUAAUUCGAAGCAACCGCGAAGAAACCUUACCACGGUCUUGGACAUCCUCUGACCAAUCCUAAGAGAUAGUGACGUCUCCCCUCUCCGCGGGCAAGAGAUGGACCAGGUCGGUGCAUGGUUGUCGUCAGCUCGUGUCGUGAGAUGUUGGGUUAAGUCCCGCAACGAGCGCAACCCUUGAUUUUAGUUGCCAGCAUUCAGUUGGGCACUCUAAGGUGACUGCCGGUGACAAACCGGAGGAAGGUGGGGAUGACGUCCGAUCAUCAUGCCCCUUAUGACCUGGGCUACACACCUGCUACAAUGGACAGAACAAAGGGCAGCGAAACCGCGAGGUUAAGCCACUCCCUCAAAUCUGUUCUCAGUUCGGAUCCCAGUGGCAAAUUGAGGAAUGAAGCUUUUGUUUGGUGUAUUUUCGGGUGUUUAUGUGGCGGAAAAAGGGGUUUUUUGUUGGCAUUCAUCAUCAGCUCUCUCUCUU
rnacentral:rRNA from 2 species